CCUCCGUUGCUUGGCAGGGACCAGGCCUACUGUCCUGUUCUCCGUGAGGUACCGAGGCAGAAGGAGAGGGCAGAAGGAGGGUCUUCUGUGCUGGCGAUUUCUUGUUCUCCGGUUCUAUCCUCAAACCCCAGGAUGCGA